rnacentral:rRNA from 1 species
UACGUAGGGCGCAAGCGUUGUCCGGAAUUAUUGGGCGUAAAGAGCUCGUAGGCGGUUUGUCGCGUCUGCUGUGAAAACCUAAGGCUCAACCUUGGGCUUGCAGUGGGUACGGGCAGACUAGAGUGCGGUAGGGGUGACUGGAAUUCCUGGUGUAGCGGUGGAAUGCGCAGAUAUCAGGAGGAACACCGAUGGCGAAGGCAGGUCACUGGGCCGCAACUGACGCUGGAGGAGCGGAAAAGCAUGGG